rnacentral:piRNA from 1 species
UCUUAGCCAAUCGCACUGGUGUGAGGUGA